rnacentral:rRNA from 1 species
AUUGAACGCUGGCGGCAGGCCUAACACAUGCAAGUCGAACGAGUGGCGGACGGGUGAGUAAUGUCUGGGAACCUGCCUGAUGGAGGGGGAUAACUACUGGAAACGGUAGCUAAUACCGCAUACCAUCGGAUGUGCCCCGAUGGGCUUAGCUUGUUGGUGGGGUAACGGCUCACCAAGGCGACGAUCCCUAGCUGGUCUGAGAGGAUGACCUGCCACACUGGAACUGUGACACGGUCCAGACUCGUACGGGAGGCAGUAGUGGGGAAUAUUGCACAAUGGGCGCAAGCCUGAUGCAGCCAUGCCGCGUGUAUGAAGAAGGCCUUCGGGUUGUAAAGUACUUUCAGCGGGGCGGCGUUAACCGCAGAAGAAGCACCGGCUAACUCCGUGCCAGCAGCCGCGGUAAUAG